rnacentral:rRNA from 1 species
AUGGAACACAACAAAGCUCCAGGCCCUGAUGGUUUCCCCGCAAAAUUCUAUCAGAAUUUCUGGGAUAUCAUCAAGGCUGACCUUUUGGAGUUGUUCAAUUGUCUUCAUGCCGAUCGACUUGAUCUAUUCAGAAUAAAUUUUGGCGAGAUUGUUUUGUUGCCGAAGAUUAAGGAGGCUGAACGGAUUCAGCAGUUCAGACCCAUAUGUCUCCUUAAUGUUAGCUUCAAGAUUUUCACCAAAGUGGCUACGAAUAGGUUAAACUUGAUAGCUGACCGUGUUGUCCGUCCAUCUCAAACGACCUUUAUGCAAGGACGAAAUAUACUAGAUGGUGUAGUAAUCCUGCAUGAGACCGUCCACGAGAUGCACCGAAAA